rnacentral:rRNA from 1 species
UACGUAGGGUGCAAGCGUUAAUCGGAAUUACUGGGCGUAAAGCGUGCGCAGGCGGUUAUGCAAGACAGAUGUGAAAUCCCCGGGCUCAACCUGGGAACUGCAUUUGUGACUGCAUAGCUAGAGUGCGGCAGAGGGGGAUGGAAUUCCGCGUGUAGCAGUGAAAUGCGUAGAUAUGCGGAGGAACACCGAUGGCGAAGGCAAUCCCCUGGGCCUGCACUGACGCUCAUGCACGAAAGCGUGGGGAGCAAACAGG